AGUGAACGCUGGCGGUAGGCCUAACACAUGCAAGUCGAACGGCAGCACAGUAAGAGCUUGCUCUUACGGGUGGCGAGUGGCGGACGGGUGAGGAAUACAUCGGAAUCUACUUUUUCGUGGGGGAUAACGUAGGGAAACUUACGCUAAUACCGCAUACGACCUACGGGUGAAAGCAGGGGAUCUUCGGACCUUGCGCGAUUGAAUGAGCCGAUGUCGGAUUAGCUAGUUGGCGGGGUAAAGGCCCACCAAGGCGACGAUCCGUAGCUGGUCUGAGAGGAUGAUCAGCCACACUGGAACUGAGACACGGUCCAGACUCCUACGGGAGGCAGCAGUGGGGAAUAUUGGACACUGGGCGCAAGCCUGAUCCAGCCAUACCGCGUGGGUGAAGAAGGCCUCGGGUUGUAAAGCCCUUUUGUUGGGAAAGAAAAGCAGCAGGUUAAUACCCCGCUGUUCUGACGGUACCCAAAGAAUAAGCACCGGCUAACUUCGUG
rnacentral:rRNA from 1 species